UUGAGUGUGUGGUGUGUGUGUGUGUGUGAGUGUGUGUGUUGUGUGUGUGUGUGUGUCAACUCGUGUCGCAGUUCGUCUCUAAAGCUGCAGAAUGUGUCAUAUCAGAUCCACAAUGAACCGAUCACUCAGUGAUUAUUGAUGUAUUGAUCAGCGAUCAGUUUGCUGCUGAAGGUUUUUGGUUUUAUUGAUCCGACCGCAGGAAAUCAGCUUUGAUCUUUCCUUUCUCCUGAUGAGAGGAAAUAAAUGGUUUAAAACAAUUCAUUUGGUUUUUAUAACGUUUCAACUUUUGAAUGUUUCAGAAAGUUUUUGUGACGAAAAUAAAUAAUUCUGAACUUUUACUUUACUUUUAAAGACUGUGAUCAUUUCUUGAAGUGGUGUUAAUGUCUAACCCCGAGCUUUAUACGAAUACUAUAAAGGGAAAUUAUAUAUUUAUAUUUUGGUCAACAAAUCUCUUGAAAAGACCGACAACGAAUUAAACUGAAACCGUUCAUUCGCUCCUUCCAGUGUAACAGACGCCGACUGACGUUUCACACACGGAUCGACUUUACUGUCGUCAAUAACGGGUUCACUGUAUAAACUGACCUGUUGCAUUGUGGGAGUGUUUGAGUUCUGUAAACUGUUAAUCAGAUUAAAACACGGUGCCAGCACACGGCUGUUGUUGUUGUUGUUGUUUAGGGGAGCGUACCUGGACUCAUCAGUAGGUGGCAGUACGCAGUGAGGAGUAAGAUACUCAGAAGAUGUGAGAAGUUACUAUUUUGACAUUAGAUAGUAAACAAGGGUAAACAAAAAUAAAGUGUUGUUAUUGAUACUAAAUCAGGAAGUUGCGAUCACAACAGUUUUCGUCGGUUUCGUCGAAUCGAGGCAACUUUUGCUCAAAUUUGACCGAUUUAUUAACGUUUCCAGUGACUGUUAUCAAUAAUAAACAGUCCUACUGAUUUUAUUCUCACUGGAACAAUUUGCCUUCGAUUUGUUUUAUUUUGUAGGAAUUCAUUUUAUUUUGAAAAUUUGCUGUGAAAUCAGUGGUUUAGCAGUUUUAUCAGUUCCCUGAAACAACCUGUGAAUCCUGGAGCGACUGAUUAACGUUGGCUCACUGCUACACUUAAUUAGUAUCAUCAGUAAUGUGUUUACCCUAUUUCUGCAUCAGAAGAGCUGCUGUGAAAAAGGCCCAUUUAAAAAACACAUCACAGUCCCACACACACACUGCUGUGUUCAUCCGCAGCAGGAAGUAGUUCCUCCGGUUUGUGAACAGCCUCGUGCUCAGUGGAAAGUAUUGAUUGGUUGUUAUUGGUUUAUUGAUCUUUUCAGGGGAUUUUAUUGACACGAACACAAACUGUGUGAUCAGUUUUCCUUAUAAUCUGAAGGAAGUUGUUACUGCUUUUUAACUGAUGGGCUCAUUAAAGAUUUCUCCCUCUUCCUCCUCUGUAUUCGUGUUAUUGAACGCUGUACGAUACAAAUACAGACUAUCAGUGUAAAAGCUGUAAAGGUUAUUGGAUCUUGAACCCUUCUUUUUAAGGUGUCGUUGGAAUCAAUGGGAGAAUAUUUCUACCUGAAAUAUCCUAUAAAAUAUAAAUAUUCAGAAUUUGAAACUGAACCAUUUCAUUGAAACACUGAAUGUCGCAGGGUUUUUAAUAACGGUACUCUACAAUAGAUACAAAACAAAUAAAUCAUUGUAUUAAUUUCCUGGAAAAUAACGUAAUGUUUCUUCUUUUUUAAAAUGUAUUUUAGUGGCUUUAGUAGAUGUUUUUAUGUUUUGUAUGUUCAGUGUUUUUAUGACUGGUGAGAGAAUGAUUAAACGGUUUUUAAAACAAA